UACGGAGGGUGCAAGCGUUGCUCGGAAUCACUGGGCGUAAAGCGACCGCAGGCGGUCUGACAAGUCGGAUGUGAAAGCCCUGGGCUCAACUCAGGAACAGCAUUCGAAACUGGCAGACUCGAGUACGGGAGAGGGGGUGGAAUUCCUGGUGUAGGGGUGAAAUUCGUUGAUAUCAGGAGGAACACCAAUGGCGAAGGCAGCUCGCUGGACGUGACUGACGCUGAGACGCGAAAGCGUGGGGAGCAAACAGG
rnacentral:rRNA from 1 species